CCCUUAGAUGUUCGGGGCUGCACGCGCGCUACACUGACGCACGCAACAGGUGCCUGCUCCGAGAGGACUGGGUAAUCAUUUGAGUGUGCGUCGUGAUGGGGAUAGAAUAUUGUAAUUAUUACUCUUCAACGAGGAAUUCCUAGUAAGCGCCAGUCAGCAGCUUGCGCUGAUUACGUCCCUGCCCUUUGUACACACCGCCCGUCGCUCCUACCGAUGGGUGAUCCGGUGAAUGAUUCGGACUUCAGCGGCUCCCCUGGGGUGCGCCGGAGAAAGUUUUGUGAACCUUAUCACUUGGAGGAAGGAGAAGUCGUAACA
rnacentral:rRNA from 1 species